UAAGGAAUAUUGGUCAAUGGAGGCAACUCUGAACCAGCCAUCCCGCGUGAAGGAUGAAGGGGCUAUGCCUUGUAAACUUCUUUUGUCUGGGACGAAAAAGCCCCGUUUACGGGGAACUGACGGUACCAGAAGAAUAAGCACCGGCUAACUCCGUGCCAGCAGCCGCGGUAAUACGGAGGGUGCAAGCGUUAUCCGGAAUCACUGGGUUUAAAGGGUGCGUAGGCGGCUUAGUAAGUCAGUGGUGAAAGGCUGUGGCUUAACCAUGGGAUUGCCAUUGAUACUGCUGAGCUUGAAUGAGGUUGAGGUUAGCGGAAUGUGACAUGUAGCGGUGAAAUGCUUAGAUAUGUCAUGGAACACCGAUUGCGAAGGCAGCUAACUGGACCUUAAUUGACGCUGAGGC
rnacentral:rRNA from 1 species